AACAUUCCCGGAUGAGAAAGACUUGUGGUUAAUGAUUUUGUAAUCGUUAAGUCUUCCCAUUUAUAUCUAUCUCCCAUCGAUCUGGUAAAAUUGAUGUACAAUUCACCGUAAUGGAUAAAGCAUCAUUUUUCAUCAAUUUCUUGCUGUUUUUGAGAACUCAUCUGAUUAUUUCAUUGACGGAAGCAUGCUUUUUUUUGUUUUUUUGUAUUUUUUGUAUUUUUGUAUUUUUAUCAAAGAAUGCUUUCAUUAGAUGAAGUUCAAAAAUACGAAUUAAUCACAAAACGGCAUCAAAAUGAACAUGUUGAGAGAAACAAAACUAAAGCGAACAAAAGCCGCAUCAACAACUACCACAGCCUACAUCACCAUAUUAAGCACAAUUCCCAGACAAAGCCCACAAAACCCAAAAUAACCUAAAACCUAAAGUAACCUAGGAGUCUAAAUGAACACUACUACCACCACCUGAAGAAGCGCCAA
rnacentral:lncRNA from 1 species